AGGCGCUGGCUGCCCCUGGACGCUUGAAGGGCUUGAAAACUUGUGUCUGUCACCGGGAAGGGAAGACACGUCAGGCAUUUGCCUAAGGCUUCUGUGUAGAAUGGAGCUGGAGGAGCCUUAUUUGUGGAAGCCAAGAGCCCAGGUUGGUAAGCGAUUUUAUGGCACCCAGUGUGGGGCAGUUGUCCUGUUUCUGGAAGAGGAUCUGGGCAUCUCCAUGGCCACCUAAUACAGCUUCCCCAUGAGUGAUGAGCAGCCCCCUGAACCUCCGGUUGCAGUGUCACCAUGCUGGCCACACCUGUGGUACACGGAAGUUCCUGGGACGGAGUCUGAAUCCACGCCGCAUCCGCAAUCCUCACCAAAGGUGCAGAAACACCGGUUUCACCACCCACUGUGCUGGGCCAGGGAUCCACAGGUAACACC